GGUUGUGUGAGGGACAGAAGACAUCAUACAAGGGACAGACAGGGUGGGGUGGCCAUGCUAGGAAUGGGAAGGAGCGAGCUGGAGAUGCAGAAGAGAGAAAGCUGUGUGGAGCUGCUCCUGGGACUGCAACGUAGAGAAGUGGUGACAGAAGGACUUCGUGCUCAGUUGUACAAAGCAUGAAGUGUCCAGCCAUGUCCUCUGAGCUACUAUCAGUAAAGAACAGUUUUUUCACUGCUGAAGAGGAAAUACAUCAAGAUAAUGACAGGUACAACGCAUAAACUACUUUCAGCAAGCACUAAUGAAGAAGUCAAAGUGUGGGAGAAGCAAGUUUUGACAUUAAAUAGUCUUGCUGCUUUCUUUUUGCAUUUAAAUACAUAAAUCUGAUUUUAUUAAAUCUGAU